rnacentral:rRNA from 1 species
AUGUAUCUAGUUUGUAUGGGUGUUUUUGAUUCUGAAACUAAUGAGAACUGGAUCUGGUUCAUGCAAUUGGUUAGGCAAGCCAUGGGGCAAGCCAUAGGAUCCCCAAGGGGUUUAACCAUAUGCACCGACGCUGGGCAGCCAGUGAUGACAGGUGUAAAAGAAGUGUUCCCAGAGGCUGAACAUAGGGAAUGUAUGUUUCACUUGGUGUCCAACUUCAAGAAGAAGUUUCAUGGAAAGGUUUUUGAUGACCACCUUUGGGCUGCUGCUUACUCAUGGAACCCAUAUUUAUUUGUGAAAAAUUGGGUUGCAAUGGACAUAGCAAAGCCAACGGCAACUGCAUAUCUUAGGAAGUGGCACACUAGGUUGUGGUCUAGGAGUUAG